rnacentral:lncRNA from 1 species
ACAACAUCAACUUUUGAAUUGCUUGAAUAAGUACAGAUAAGCUUUAUCGACUCAUUAAUCACAUAGAUCGUGACACUAAAUAGUCAACUCAAAUUCAAAACGGGGAGGAUAAUAAAAGCGAUGAGGAGAGUAAAAGCAAGGAAGGGAGUGAAGACGAGUAGCUAAUUUACGUUAAUUUUAGAACCAUGAAGCAAAAUACUUGCACACUCAAACACUGUUUCACUUGAAAAACUUAGAGAAGGAUGUGUGAUCUCAAUUGCAUACCCAAUCAGUAAGGGCUGCAUGUAUUUAUACUUCAUUCAAGAUUACAUCAGGGAACUGAAAUCCCUAUUUACAAGGCUAUUUGAAAUUCAAACAAUACAACAGAAACAGCACACUUAGGUUUGCACGGAAUGAAAUAUUUAAAAGAGUCUUAACCAAAACUAACUCUUAGUGGAUAACAAGUUGACUUAAUCACAAACUCUUGAAACCGUAGGCAGAGUAGGACUUGGUCUAACAUCCCCCCGCAAGCUGACAGGGGGGGAAGCCACUGAAAGCUUGGAAACUAGAACUUUGAAACGCAAAGAAGACAGGCCUUUAGUGAACAAAUCAGCAAUCUGAUCUUGAGAACAAAUAUAAUUC